CCUACGGGGUGCAGCAGUGGGGAAUUUUGGGCAAUGGGCGCAAGCCUGACCCAGCAACGCCGCGUGAAGGAAGAAGGCUUCCGGGUUGUAAACUCCUUUAGUCAGGGACGAAGCAAGCGACGGUACCUGACGAAUAAGCCACGGCUACCGUCGUGCCAGCAGCCGCCGUAAUAGGGAGGUGGCAAGCGUUAUCCGGAUUUACUGGGUGUAAAGAGCGUGUAGGCGGGACGGCAAGUCAGGUGUUAAAACCACGGGCUCAACCUGUGGCCUGCAUUUGAAACCGUAGUUCUAGAGUGCGGGAGAGGCAGACGGAAUUCCUAGUGUAGCGGUGAAAUGCGUAGAUAUUAGGAGGAACACCAGUGGCGAAGGCGGUCUGCUGGACAGCAACUGACGCUGAGGCGCGAAAGCGUGGGGAGCAAACAGGAUUAGAUACCCCGGUAGUC
rnacentral:rRNA from 1 species